UGCUAUGGCGGCUGUGCGCGGGACACCUCCGGGUGUGCCGGUUUCCUAUGUGACCGGUCGGCCAACCUGCGUACAGUCGCCCCCAUC
rnacentral:antisense_RNA from 1 species